ensembl:snoRNA C02F5.15 ncRNA
CACGACGAAUCGUUUGAUAGGAUUCUUCAUUUCCUAUUCCAAUUCUAUUUUAUGGAAUGUGAAGUCUGAAUAUCUCAUCUUAUAUCCAUAGGCUUACUGGGAUUACUUACAUCCUCGUUAAUAGAAUUAGAAGCCAUCUAAAUCUAGACGGAGUACGGUAGUCAGGAUGAUGUGUUGAAAAAU